UCCCAGCUACCUGCGAGGCCGACGCAAAAGAAUUGCUUGAACCGGGAUGGCGCCACUGCACUCCAGCUUGGGCAACAGAGUGAGACUCUGUCUCAAAAAAAAAAAAAAUUGGUUACAGAUUACACCUUGUUUUCUUUAAAGCCUUUAAAGAAAGUGUAAUCUGUAACUAUUAAUAAAAGCUUCCCAAACAACGAAACUGUUUACUUUCCCGCGCAGGCUCAGGUUGCCUCCAGCUAAACACAAAUGUGGGGGCUGGAGAAAGGCCUGGAGAGCUCCCAGCGCCCUCUGAGACAUGGCUCCAGGUCACACAGCCCAAAGCCUUGGCCUGUUUUGUACGUGGACGGGGCAAAGAGAACACCCUCGCCGCUUCUCUCUGCCUUUAGCAGGGCUGUAGGAAACCCCCACCAGAGACCUCCAGCUUGGAGAGGAAAGAGUGGAACAGCCCUCUGGAAGCAAGUUACCCACAGGUUUAGUUUGCCUGGAGAGAAACAGGCCGGAGAGAGACUGCGGCCUCCCUAGGGUCUUCUGACGGCAAAUUCCUCCAGCUCAGUGGCUGCUGGGCAGCAGCACAGCCGGUUUCUCUCAAGGGCACACCCCACACACCGCGUCACUGUGCACUAGCCUCAGAUGACAGACAAGCCUUUCACAAGACUUUUGUGGCACUGUUCAUUUCUGAGACCUUCUCUAUGAUGAGCUCAAACUGCUUACCUCAGAGAAGAAACUGCGUGCACAGAAAGCUGCUGAGGCCAGCUUGGGGCCCCUUCUUUCCUGUCCCUGGGCACUUCCCUGGCUGCUCUCUUUCCCCACUGCCCAGCCCAAGGAGUCCCCUCUGCAGCUGACCCGGGUUCAGCCUCCAGAACAGCGAGUUCCACAGCCCUGAAGCCUGGCCAUCGUCCCUUUUCUGGACACUGGACUGGUUCAUAGGGCUCAGUGCCCUGCGGCUUUCUCCUCCCCACCACAGGCCUGG
rnacentral:lncRNA from 1 species